UAAUAAGUGUUUUAUGGCACUUUUUUAAAUCCAUAUCCACCUUGUGUGCAAUGUCAGUCGGUUUUUCUUUUUCGUCAAGAAAAAAAGGAUCGACCAAACAUCAACUUAUUCUAAUUGAACUUUUGUCUGAAAACUAUUAUGAAUAAGCUAAUUCAAAAUA
rnacentral:misc_RNA from 1 species